AACACGUUCCUUAGAUCCACCUCUGGGGGGCGCUCUGCUCUGAGCAGAAGCCCUCAGCAGCUUUCUGGCUGUACAGUUGGAGGUGCUUGAGUCAUUGGCGUGUUAAAGCAGUCUACCUGUUUUCCCGGCUUACUUGCGACACUGACAAUCCGGUUCUCUACGAGCAGGAAGUCGCCCAGUGUUGCUAGCCAGGGGAACGGACAUU